GUGCUCAUUAUGGCAGCACAUAUGCUAAAUUUGAAGGAUAUAGAGAAGAUUAGCAUGGCCCCUGUGCAAGGAUGGCACUCAAAUUUGUUAAGUGUUCCAUAUUUUU